UAGACAGUUUCACUGAUGAGGUCAACGAUUUUCUUUUUCUCUUAUUUUCCGGAAACAGAGUCAGGAGGAAAUAUCAAACAUAAACCUUGCCGAUCACGAACGUUGCGGAAUUACUGUUUACAGAGUAAGCGAGAAAAGAUGGCGGUUAUGAAGCCUGAUUUGUAAGUUUUUCUUCCUAUGAAAUGUAGCUUGACUAAAGUUUCUUUCCGAGUACCACCCAUGGAGUUACGUGACACAAUUUCCAACUCGAACAAGAAGGAGGGGGAAUUCAGUGCUAUGCAAGACAACACACUCAAGCUGAUCAAGAGAACAGACAACUGAGCUUGAAGCAUGUUAACCUAAUCGAAUUUGGAAGUUACUUGAUGAUCGUUGCACCCUCUAGGUGUGAAAACAGUUUUAAAGAUUGGUUUCACUGUAAUCUUUUCCGGUUUAUAAUCUAUCACUGGUUUCACUGUAAUCUAUUCCCAUAUACAUAAACGGUGUACAUAAACACCCUCGAGUCGAAA